UACGAAGGGGGCUAGCGUUGUUCGGAUUUACUGGGCGUAAAGCGCACGUAGGCGGACUUUUAAGUCAGGGGUGAAAUCCCGGGGCUCAACCUCGGAACUGCCUUUGAUACUGGAAGUCUGGAGUAUGGAAGAGGUAAGUGGAAUUCCGAGUGUAGUGGUGAAAUGCGUAGAGAUCCGGAGGAACCCCAGAGGCGAAGGCGGCGCCCUGGCUCGUACCUGACGCUCAGCCACGAAA
rnacentral:rRNA from 1 species